rnacentral:rRNA from 1 species
UGGUGGAGUGAUUUGUCUGGUUAAUUCCGUUAACGAACGAGACCUUAACCUGCUAAAUAGUAACCGGUAGACUUCUGCCAAAACACGUCGGCGUUUAGGGUGAAGUUUCGAUGGAUCUCGACGCGUCGGCGUGUGGAUGACUACCGGGAUUCACUUCUUAGAGGGACUAUCUGUAUUAAAGCAGAUGGAAGUUUGAGGCAAUAACA